GGUUACCUUGUUACGACUUCACCCCAGUCAUGAAACACAAAGUGGUAAUCGUCCUCCCGAAGGUUAGACUAACUACCUCUUUUGCAUCCCACUCCCAUGGUGUGACGGGCGGUGUGUACAAGGCCCGGGAACGUAUUCACCGCAGUAUUCUGACCUGCGAUUACUAGCGAUUCCGACUUCAUGGAGUCGAGUUGCAGACUCCAAUCCGGACUACGACAUUCUUUAAGGGGUCCGCUCCACAUCACUGUCUCGCUUCCCUCUGUAAAUGCCAUUGUAGCACGUGUGUAGCCCUACACNUAAGGGCCAUGAUGACUUGACGUCUCCCCACCUUCCUCCGGUUUGUCACCGGCAGUCUCCUUAGAGUGCCCAACUGAAAU
rnacentral:rRNA from 1 species